ACUAAUUCCAUAUACAAUACACCCCUUAAGAGUGGCCCAGGUAAAGAAUUGAAGUUCCUCAAGGUAAAUUCUGUCAAAUUUCAGCUUCCUCAGACGGUCUGAGUCAGACCCCUGAAAAAUUUGGCUCGGGGUGUUUGUUGUUUUUGGUCGGUUUAAUAUAGGAUAUGCCCUCCCUGAUUUCCUAACCCCGGCCCUUCUUUUUCCUCUCUCUUCCUUCUCUAAUCCACCGCUUCCUUAAUUCUUUCCUCCGUUUCGGUCAGUUCCCAAUUCAGGAAUUUCCGUUCUCUCAGAAUCAUCAGGCUCCUCUUCAUCAGUGAAAGAGUUGUUCCAGUGUUUGAAUGACCCGUCCUUUUCGGGAUUUCGGGUUUGUAAAUUGAAGAACAGGAGGGAUCAAAUUUGGGGCAUGAUAACCAAUGUUUCCCGUGGGAUGAGCAAUACCAUGAAUGUAAGAAUGACCGCCUUUUGCGAUCCGGUGGGAUUUUCCCUUCUCUGCUACAAGUUUGUUGCUGGGAGGCCAUUAUGGGAUAUGAGUUUUGGUUCUUAAAGUUGAGUUUUACGUGUAUUCUGGGUUCAUUUGUGUGGAACUGUGGGUUGAUUGGAUUUUGCAGAGAACAAAGCAAGAAGAUGUCUCUGAAGAACAAGUAUAAUUGUCACCAUAUAUCAUUUUUGCAUUCCGAAUUCGUUGCUCAUUAGUUUGUUAGUAUAAGCAAGAAGUUGCCUAUUGGUUUCAAAAGAUGUAAUACUAAUAUUAUUAAGGCACCUCAUCAUUUCAGCUGAUAAAGAUGAUUUACUAUAGUCUCUCAAAUUGAUUCAGCUUAAUUUAUGAUUCGUGCAUCUUUUCUAUCACUUUCAGUUUUAAUGCAUCUUUUUAAUCAUGGACACUUUUAGCUGCUUUAGCAUUUUUAGAUUAUUUAGUAUUCAGCUGAUAAAGAUUAUUCACUAUAGUCUCUCAAUAGCCCUUACCUUCUGGGAAAGGAAAUUUUAUGUUGGUGCCUGGUGCCAUGGUUACAUUCUGUCCACGAGCAGAGCAAAUCAUUUUUACUUUCAUGAAUAGGUCAUCAACAUGGAGUGGGUAACUUUCGUUCAUCACACCUUCCCCUUACACAAUAUGAUCAGGCUCUUCAUGUUUGACUUAUGGUAGAUGGUUUAGUUUGAUCUAGAUUUGACCAGGGCUUUUGUUUUGUUCUACAGAUCUUUGAGAAGAUAAUUUCUGGGAUGUAUUUUACGAAACUUUUCUCAAGUCUUUCGCAAUAUGAUAUGCCCCGUGUGUUAUUCAAUCAAUCGAACAAUAGUAAUUUGUGUAUUUAAAAUAGUAUUCAGCAUAUAGAUUUUAGUUAGCCUCACUAUAUCUGUUUUGUGUAUAUGUAGAGGAAAACUGCAGUUCAUUUUUUCGCAGGCAUCACAGCUACAGGGUUAUGUUUCUGAUCAAGGAUGGAAAUGAUCAAGCCACAAUUUUGCUCAUGCGAGAGCAUCGUUGUCGAAAAGAAAACAUCAAAACAUUCUGCCAAAACAUAUCAUUCAUGUACAUGGAUGGAUCAAGCUUCUCAAGCUGAAGCAAGAACCUAAUCAGCUUCUAUAUUUUAGACUUUAGUAUAGAUAUUGAUCUCUAAAAACAAAGACAGUAGUUGCUAGAACGAUACCAUGUAGCCAAUAUAUAUCUUUGCUGAUAGGCAUCUCCCUAUUUUCGAUAAACAAUGUGGAUGCCCUGCUGUUAUCAUAAUACUAGCAAUAUUUUGUAAUCAAUUUUGUAAUUAUGGAGCAGAUACUUGAAACAAG